AACGAACGCUGGCGGCAGGCUUAACACAUGCAAGUCGAGCGAGACCUUCGGGUCUAGCGGCGGACGGGUGAGUAACGCGUGGGAACGUGCCCUUCUCUACGGAAUAGCCCCGGGAAACUGGGAGUAAUACCGUAUACGCCCUUUGGGGGAAAGAUUUAUCGGAGAAGGAUCGGCCCGCGUUGGAUUAGGUAGUUGGUGGGGUAACGGCCCACCAAGCCGACGAUCCAUAGCUGGUUUGAGAGGAUGAUCAGCCACACUGGGACUGAGACACGGCCCAGACUCCUACGGGAGGCAGCAGUGGGGAAUCUUAGACAAUGGGGGCAACCCUGAUCUAGCCAUGCCGCGUGAGUGAUGAAGGCCUUAGGGUUGUAAAGCUCUUUCAGCUGGGAAGAUAAUGACGGUACCAGCAGAAGAAGCCCCGGCUAACUCCGUG
rnacentral:rRNA from 1 species